rnacentral:rRNA from 1 species
UGGGGAAUCUUCCGCAAUGGACGAAAGUCUGACGGAGCAACGCCGCGUGAGUGAAGAAGGUUUUCGGAUCGUAAAACUCUGUCUUUUGGGGCGAACGUGAGUAUGGUGAACAAUCAUAGUCAGUGACGGUACCAAAGGAGGAAGCCACGGCUAACUACGUGCCAGCAGCCGCGGUAAUACGUAGGUGGCAAGCGUUGUCCGGAAUUAUUGGGCGUAAAGAGCGCGUAGGCGGGAUAGUCAGUCUGUUGUAAAAGUGCGGGGCUCAACCCCGUGAUGGCAAUGGAAACAGCUAUUCUUGAGUGCAGGAGAGGAAAGUGGAAUUCCCAGUGUAGCCGUGAAAUGCGUAGAUAUUGGGAGGAACACCAGUGGCGAAGGCGACUUUCUGGACUGUGUCUGACGCUGAGGCGCGAAAGCCAGGGGAGCGAACGGGAUUAGAUACCCCGGUAGUCCUGGCCGUAAACGAUGGGUACUAGGUGUGGGGGGUAUCGACCCCUUCCGUGCCGGAGUUAACGCAAUAAGUACCCCGCCUGGGGAGUACGGUCGCAAGACUGAAACUUAAAUGAAUUGACGGGGGUCAUAGCUGUUUCCUG